rnacentral:pre_miRNA from 1 species
UUUGUACUCCCUCCGUCCCAAAAUUCUUGUCUUAAAUUUGUCUAAAUGCGGAUGUAUCUAGUUACAUUUUAGUGUUAGAUACAUCUGUAUCUAAACAAAUGUAAGACAAGAAUUUUGGGACGGAGGGAAUACUAC